GAUAACACCUGGAAACAGAUGCUAAUACCGCAUAACAACUUGGACCGCAUGGUCCGAGUUUGAAAGAUGGCUUCGGCUAUCACUUUUGGAUGGUCCCGCGGCGUAUUAGCUAGAUGGUGGGGUAACGGCUCACCAUGGCAAUGAUACGUAGCCGACCUGAGAGGGUAAUCGGCCACAUUGGGACUGAGACACGGCCCAAACUCCUACGGGAGGCAGCAGUAGGGAAUCUUCCACAAUGGACGAAAGUCUGAUGGAGCAACGCCGCGUGAGUGAAGAAGGGUUUCGGCUCGUAAAACUCUGUUGUUAAAGAAGAACAUAUCUGAGAGUAACUGUUCAGGUAUUGACGGUAUUUAACCAGAAAGCCACGGCUAACUACGUGCCAGCAGCCGCGGUAAUACGUAGGUGGCAAGCGUUGUCCGGAUUUAUUGGGCGUAAAGCGAGCGCAGGCGGUUUUUUAAGUCUGAUGUGAAAGCCUUCGGCUCAACCGAAGAAGUGCAUCGGAAACUGGGAAACUUGAGUGCAGAAGAGGACAGUGGAACUCCAUGUGUAGCGGUGAAAUGCGUAGAUAUAUGGAAGAACACCAGUGGCGAAGGCGGCUGUCUGGUCUGUAACUGACGCUGAGGCUCGAAAGUAUGGGUAGCAAACAGGAUUAGAUACCCUGGUAGUCCAUACCGUAAACGAUGAAUGCUAAGUGUUGGAGGGUUUCCGCCCUUCAGUGCUGCAGCUAACGCAUUAAGCAUUCCGCCUGGGGAGUACGGCCGCAAGGCUGAAACUCAAAGGAAUUGACGGGGGCCCGCACAAGCGGUGGAGCAUGUGGUUUAAUUCGAAGCUACGCGAAGAACCUUACCAGGUCUUGACAUACUAUGCAAAUCUAAGAGAUUAGACGUUCCCUUCGGGGACAUGGAUACAGGUGGUGCAUGGUUGUCGUCAGCUCGUGUCGUGAGAUGUUGGGUUAAGUCCCGCAACGAGCGCAACCCUUAUUAUCAGUUGCCAGCAUUAAGUUGGGCACUCUGGUGAGACUGCCGGUGACAAACCGGAGGAAGGUGGGGAUGACGUCAAAUCAUCAUGCCCCUUAUGACCUGGGCUACACACGUGCUACAAUGGAUGGUACAACGAGUUGCGAACUCGCGAGAGUAAGCUAAUCUCUCAAAGCCAUUCUCAGUUCGGAUUGU
rnacentral:rRNA from 1 species